GAUGAACGCUGGCGGCGUGCCUAAUACAUGCAAGUCGAGCGAACAGACGAGGAGCUUGCUCCUCUGACGUUAGCGGCGGACGGGUGAGUAACACGUGGAUAACCUACCUAUAAGACUGGGAUAACUUCGUGAAACCGGAGCUAAUACCGCAUAAUAUAUUUAACCGCAUGGUUCAAUAGUGAAAGACGGUUUUGCUGUCACUGAUAGAUGGAUCCGCGCCGCAUUAGCUAGUUGGUAAGGUAAGGGCUUACCAAGGCAACGAUGCUUAGCCGACCUGAAGGGGUGAUCGGCCACCUUGGAACUGAGAAAGGGCCCAGACUCCUACGGGAGGAAGCAGUAGGGAAUCUUCCGCAAGGGGGGAAAGCGGAACGGAGCAACGCCGCGUGAGUGAUGAAGGUCUUCGGAUCGGAAAACUCUGUUAUUAGGAAAGAACAAAUGUGUAAGUAACUGUGCACGUAUUGACGGUACCUAAACAGAAAGCCACGGCUAACUACGUG
rnacentral:rRNA from 1 species